rnacentral:lncRNA from 1 species
AGACCGUCUGGUUAAUUGUCUCUCAGAUGGACAUGCUUGGAUCUAAGCCUGGAAAGAAGUCAGCUUUGAAGGUCCUGACUCCCAGGGUGAUGGUAAGAAUUAUGCGGCUAGACCAUGAAAUGACCCUACCCAAGUUGCCACUGUCUCUCUGGAUGGGAGCCAGACUGAAGACCCAGGGAGCACUCAGAAGCAACCAGAAGUCCUGAGUCCAGCUUGGUCCAGCCAAGCCAAGGUGCCCCAUGGACCCAAAUGUUUGUUCUUGAGAGCCACUGAGAUUUGGAGGUUGGUUGAUACAUAUUAAAACAUGACUAAUAUUUAG